rnacentral:rRNA from 1 species
UACGUAGGGUGCAAGCGUUGUCCGGAAUUAUUGGGCGUAAAGAGCUCGUAGGCGGUCUGUUGCGUCGGCUGUGAAAACCCGGGGCUCAACUCCGGGCCUGCAGCCGAUACGGGCAGACUAGAGUUCGGCAGGGGAGACUGGAAUUCCCAGUGUAGCGGUGAAAUGCGUAGAUAUUGGGAGGAACACCAGUGGCGAAGGCGGCUACCUGGACCGGUUCUGACGCUGAGGCGCGAAAGCGUGGGUAGCAAACAGG